rnacentral:lncRNA from 1 species
GCUCUGCCUUCAUGGGGGUUGGGGAGUGGAAAGCCAGACAAGAUUUUUAACUCUACUUGUGAAAUCUUUUUAUUACACAGAUGUUUGGGCACAAGUUCUUCUACUCCCAUUGUACAGAAACCAUCCAUUUGAUUUAGUAAACAUAAGCAGUGCAUUGUGCUAUCGCAUGUUCCAAGUAUGGGUUACUAUUACCUCUGUUUUUGCUUUCCUUGUAUUGUCAAGUUCUGAGGUUUCAUCCCUUAUGACAAUUCUCAGGAUUGGUAUUACAAAAUGGAAAUCUACUCUGCGAGAAUCUAAGUUAGACAAGAUAAAGUUUAUACAUUAACUCUAAACUAUAAAGUCUAGAACAAUAACAUUUGUGCACGAUAAAAGAGCAUUUAACAAAUCCUACAAUACUGUGUUUGCAAAACCUAUUAGUGACCUGAACAGGGUGUUUGCAAAAGAUGACUACCUGGUUUUGCCUUUAAAUAACUAAUAAAAACCAUUUUGUUUUAUGACUUACUUUAAUACAAUUUGCCUUAUUAUCUUGCCUUUCUACAAUAUUCAAAAGUAGUUGAAAUGUUUCAAACAUUAUGAGAUUGUGCAUUUAUGAAAAAGAAAAAUAUAAAUAUGAAAGGUAAGUUAUCCCUAAAAUGAUUAACACAAGUUUCUCAUUUUUUCAUACAAAUUUAACUCAGUCAAACAAGCAUCACAGUUUUCUCUGGUAUUGCAUACUAAUUGCAUGUUAUCAGCAUGGUUUGCCAUUCAUCAGAGACAAUUGCAUAAUUGCUAACUCCAGAGAAGUAGACUAACAGAGAAUAUCUCCUAUUAAUGCUUACCAAAGUUACAUAUGCCAUUGGUUAAAUGUAGGGCUUAAAUUAUUAAGAAGACGUAAUACUGGUUACGCAUAUUCACAGAAUAACAAAACCAUCUUUAGUUUGUUCUAAUAUUUUAAUUUUCAAAUUUUGUGAAAUAGCCUUUCCCAAGCAGUGACACAUUAAAGGGGAUGGAAGCUACUUUGUCCCUUUGUAGGAAUCAAGACAGAAAAUUAUCUGAGUGGGUUAACUGACAUAUGUUUGUGGAUAUGCAGCUGCGUGUAAUGCCAGCUCCUAUACCCAUUCUCUAAACCUCAGGUCAAACACUAACUUUGCUCCAAAUCUGUGCUCUCCUUUUCUGAAAGCUUCUUUCUUUAAAACAGUUUCUCCUCCUCCUCUUCUCCCCCUACUUCUACUCAUCCUCCUCCCUUCUCCUCCUUCUCCUUUCACUUCUCCUCUUUUUUCUCCUCCUCCUCCUCCACUUUCUUUUCCACCUUUUCAACUGUUGGAAAGUCUAAGCUAGUACUUUGUAAACACAGAAAAAUACCUGUAUUCUUUAUCUUUAUCAUUUAUAUGGGUCUAGGGUCACCAUUGUUCUUAUAUUCUAGGCUAUUAUUGGGUCUAUGUGUGCUCUAUCUACUGCAGUUUUUAAAACCAUCUCCUAGAUUUUUGAAAAUGAAUUAAAAAUUGAUUCUCUCUCAUCCAUAAAGUGUAGUAUCAUCACUAUCUGAGUUGGGAUAGUACUUCCUGUUUUUAAUCAGAAUUUGUUGUAAUUGAUAUAAUUAUUAGUCUAUCAAAAGAUGUCUUGGACUUUCAAAUACUCAUUCCAUGAUGGCUUCUAUGGAGAUUCCCUUGGGUAACAAAAUAUCUUUUAGAAGCGAAGGGACUGGGGUUGGGGAUUUAGCUCAGUGGUAGAGCGCUUGCCUAGCGAGUGCAAGGCCCUGGGUUCGGUCCCCAGCUCUGGAAAAAAAAAAAGAAGCGAAGGGACUGUGAACCUCUUUAAAUAGUAUUCUGAUGAUGUAAGUUCACAGUGUCUGUUACCCCAAUUGCUCCAUUCUUUUCUAAUUGAUGACUAGAGUAAUUGCUGUUCAGAGACAUUUUUAAGUUAUUUUAAUAUAUUAUCAGUAUAUAUGUUUGGAAGAAAUAGUCACUUUAGAGACUUGAUUGGUGACUCAAAGGUUAAUCCCGUCAGUUUAAUCCCGUCAGUCACAUGGCAGAAGUAAAUAACCAAGUCCAGCAAGUUGUCCUCUAACCUCCACACACAAGAACACUCAUGUUCAUACACAACAAAUAAAUGAAUUAAAUUAAUAGCGUUUUUCGGGUUUAAAAGGGAAUCCUUAUGAGAUGAAUUUCCUAUUUUUGCUUUUAAAUUUUUAUCUCAAAUACUUCUUCCUUAAUCAGUAAUAUGCUCACCUUUGAGUGAAUGGCUGUAAAAGUCAAAAAGAAAAGAGUUAAAAUAUAGAUGAUCCUUUGUUUGUUUAUAAUCUAUACACUAAUAAGCUCAGUACUGGAAGAUUUCAUGGGUCAAGUAUUGAUAUGCAGAAACUAGAACCAAAUGAAUAAUUGUACCCCUUCUUUGAUUCCUUUGAUUGAAUGUAUGCAUUAGAAAUGUUAUUAUGCAAUAAGGAACCAGUAAAAACUAAUUCAAUAAAAAGUCACAUGUGCUAUAGCAAUGAGGAAAUUGGUUGUCUAUGGCAUCUGAGAACAAUUAUUGCUCUGUAGUUACCUUGAAAGCUUAAUUAGAUCUGUCGUAUGGAUUGCUCAGGAAAAUGAAUAACUUCCUAGGACAUUAACCCCUCCACUCAUAGAUACCCUGAGGAGGACCAGCAGGAAAGAGUCUCUUCAGUACUUCAACAUACCAUUCAAUUACCAUCAUGUUCUUUGAGCUUCAUGAUAUACAAAGUAUUGGAAAGCAGAGGGAUGUCUCAUGGUUGUGGGAUUUUACUCUUCCUUGUACUGGUAAGCUUCUCAUCAGCUCUCUGCUUUGGAAUUAAAUGAGCAUGGAAUAGGACUUUUUGGGUAUUUCAUAAUCAAGGUUUGUAUCGGAAGUAAAUGAAAUGGAAAAGUCAAUAUAGGAAGGGUAAGAUCCCAACCCAUUGAGAGCCUCGGAUAUGAGAGGUAUGUGAGAGUAUAGAAAUGAGGGCCAUUUCUAUACUCAGAUAUAGAUUAUCAAGGGACAAAAGAAUUUAGGAGAUGGAUUUUGUGGGGUUUAUGUGGGUAGGGUAACCUAAACAGAAAAUAUGGAAGGUUGGGAGUACUUUAGGCCACUUGGUCUAGAAACAAUUCUCACACAGAGAUUCAAGAAACACCACGAGUUUUAGGCAGUGAGAACUACAAGACACACACUCUCUCUG